rnacentral:rRNA from 1 species
CGUGGGAUCAGACCCGAAACCAGGUGAUCUAGCCAUGAGCAGGAUGAAGGUUGGGUAACACCAACUGGAGGUCCGAACCAACACCCCGUUGAAAAGGGUCUGGAUGACUUGUGGCUAGGGGGUGAAAAGGCUAAUCAAAACCUGGAGAUAGCUGGUUCUCCGCCGAAAGCUAUUUAGGUACGCGCCUCGGACGAAUACCAUCGGGGGUAGAGCACUGCAUGGAUGAUGGGGGCCCACAGCCUUACUGAGUCUAAGCAAACUCCGAAUACCGAUGAGUACUAUCCGGGAGACACACGGCGGGUGCUAACGUCCGUCGUGAAGAGGGUAAACAACCCUGACCUGCAGCUAAGGCCCCUAAUUCGUGGCUAAGUGGGAAAAGCAUGUGGGACGGCCAAAACAACCAGGAUGUUGGCUUAGAAGCAGCCAUCAUUUAAAGAUAGCGUAACAGCUCACUGGUCUAGAUAAGCUGUCCUGCGGCGAAGAUGUAACGGGG